rnacentral:rRNA from 1 species
UGGGGAAUUUUGGACAAUGGGGGAAACCCUGAUCCAGCCAUCCCGCGUGUGCGAUGAAGGCCUUCGGGUUGUAAAGCACUUUUGGCAGGAAAGAAACGUCAUGGGUUAAUACCCCGUGAAACUGACGGUACCUGCAGAAUAAGCACCGGCUAACUACGUGCCAGCAGCCGCGGUAAUACGUAGGGUGCAAGCGUUAAUCGGAAUUACUGGGCGUAAAGCGUGCGCAGGCGGUUCGGAAAGAAAGAUGUGAAAUCCCAGAGCUCAACUUUGGAACUGCAUUUUUAACUACCGGGCUAGAGUGUGUCAGAGGGAGGUGAAAUUCCGCGUGUAGCAGUGAAAUGCGUAGAUAUGCGGAGGAACGCCGAUGGCGAAGGCAGCCUCCUGGGAUAACACUGACGCUCAUGCACGAAAGCGUGGGGAGCAAACAGG